UACGGAGGGUGCAAGCGUUAUCCGGAUUCACUGGGUUUAAAGGGUGCGUAGGAGGGCAGGUAAGUCAGUGGUGAAAUCUCCAAGCUUAACUUGGAACUGCCGUUGAUACUAUCUGUCUUGAAUACCGUGGAGGUGAGCGGAAUAUGGUCAUGUAGCGGAUGAAAUGCUUAGAUGAUGAACAUAGUAACACCAAUUGCGAAGG
rnacentral:rRNA from 1 species